rnacentral:rRNA from 1 species
AUUGAACGCUGGCGGCAGGCCUAACACAUGCAAGUCGAACGAGUGGCGGACGGGUGAGUAAUGUCUGGGAACCUGCGCGAUGGAGGGGGAUAACUACUGGACACGGUAGCUACUACCGCAUACCAUCGGAUGUGCCCAGAUGGGAUUAGCUAGACGGUGGGGUAACGGCUCACCUAGGCGACGAUCCCUAGCUGGUCUGAGAGGAUGACCAGCCACACGGGAACUGAGACACGGGCCAGACUCCUACGGGAGGCAGCAGUUGGGAAUAUUGCACAAUGGGCGCAAGCCUGAUGCAGCCAUGCCGCGUGUAUGAAGAAGGCCUUCGGGUUGUAAAGUACUUUCAGCGAGGAGGCGUUACCCGCAGAAGAAGCACCGGCUAACUCCGUGCCAGCAGCCGCGGUAAUUC